UCCGUAGGUGACAAUCGUUAUCCGGAAUUACUGGGCGUAAAGCGCACGCAGGUGGCUACUUAAGUCUGACGUGAAAGCUCCUGGCUUAACUGGGAGAGGUCGUUGGAAACUGAGUGGCUUGAGGCGAUGAGAGGGGUAUGGAAUUCCCGGUGUAGUGGUGGAAUGCGUAGAGAUCGGGAGGAACACCAGUGGCGAAAGCGAUACCCUAGCGUUAGCCUGACGCUCAUGUGCGAAAGCGUGGGGAGAGAACCGG
rnacentral:rRNA from 1 species